GAUAGCCAUAGAUAACCCAAGGAUCGAGGGUUGGUUCACUAACGACUCGGACAGCGCCGAUAGUUGCGUCGUAUAAUCCCCCCCAGUACAUAGCUUUGGCCACUAAUAAUAAUGCAGCUAUACCUAAAAAGAGCAGGUGAUGACCGAGAAUAACUCCUAAUUGUCGGGGNUCGCUCCA
rnacentral:antisense_RNA from 1 species